rnacentral:tRNA from 1 species
GGAGAGGUGGCCGAGCGGUUGAAGGCGCACGCCUGGAAAGUGUGUAUACGGCAACGUAUCGAGGGUUCGAAUCCCUCUCUCUCCG